CUCGCGUUAUUAAAUUGGCGGCUGGCGGUAAACCCGUAGAUCCGAACUUGUGUUGUGUAUUUGGUAACGCAAUUCGCCUCUCGGGUGCAUCGCUGAUUAGCCGUUGAUAUCCCUUACAA
rnacentral:precursor_RNA from 9 species